AUAAAUUUUGACAAAGGAAAACAAAUCCAGUUGAGAUCAUGCAAGGUAAAGUAAUACAUGAGAAACGAAUCAACUUUAACAACUCAUAAUUCUGAUCAUCAUCACUGAAAUGAAACGAGACUAUAAAAAGACCCUUGAUUAGAUGCACUUUAGGGCUCAAAUAUGGACCAGAAACACACAGCAGCGAGGAAAUCUCAGUCCCUUGACCUAUGGGGGGCCUCUUCAAGUUAAGGAACCCUUUCAUUACAUGUACAAAGUUCUAAAAUGCUUCUAGAUUGGCCUAAAUCAAUCAUCACCGAUUAGAAAAAUAUAACAUAAAAUUCUUGAUAUAUUCAAAAUCUUCCAUUAGCUAUUUAGUUUUUGAUAGAUUUCCUCAAUUUAUAAUGUAU
rnacentral:misc_RNA from 1 species